rnacentral:rRNA from 1 species
UACAGAGGGUGCAAGCGUUAAUCGGAAUUACUGGGCGUAAAGCGUGCGUAGACGGUCAUGUAAGUCGGGUGUGAAAGCCCCGGGCUCAACCUGGGAAUUGCAUUCGAGACUGCAUGGCUAGGAUGCGGAAGAGGGAAGCGGAAUUUCCGGUGUAGCGGUGAAAUGCGUAGAUAUCGGAAGGAACACCAGUGGCGAAAGCGGCUUCCUGGUCCAGCAUCGACGUUCAGGCACGAAAGCGUGGGUAGCAAACAGG